CCUACGGGAGGCAGCAGUGGGGAAUAUUGGACAAUGGGGGGAACCCUGAUCCAGCGACGCCGCGUGAGUGAAGAAGUAUUUCGGUAUGUAAAGCUCUAUUAGCAGGGAAGAAAAUGACGGUACCUGAUUAAGAAGCCCCGGCUAACUACGUGCCAGCAGCCGCGGUAAUACGUAGGGGGCGAGCGUUAUCCGGAGUUACUGGGUGUAAAGGGAGGUUAGACGGAGAAGCAAGACGGAUGUGAAAGUUUGGGGCCAAACCCCGGGACUGCAUUGGAAACUGUUGAGCUUGAGUACGUGAGAGGUAAGCGGAAUUCCUAGUGUAGGGGUGAAAUCCGUAGAUAUUAGGAGGAACACCAAUGGCGAAGGCAGGUUACUGGACUGUAACUGACGCUGAGGCUCGAAAGCGUAGGGAGCAAACGGGAUUAGAUACCCCAGUAGUC
rnacentral:rRNA from 1 species